UAAUAAAUGUAAAUAAAUUUCGCAGUUGCCCCGUGCAAAUUGGCUGACUAUAAAAGUUGGACGAGUUGGAUUUGAAGGGUAACAAUUUAUCAGGCAAACGCCUGUCAAAAUUUAUGGAUUCGUGUUGCACGAAACAAGUGCUCGACUAUUUGAGACAAUAAAUUUGCAGAAAAUCUGCGGUGAAAACUGUACGGAAUCAUCAAAAACGAAAUCAAAGAAGGGGAAAUAAUUACAAAAAUUGUCGGACAACGAGCGAAUUUACAGUACCAGAGCAUACGUUCUCACAUUAUUGCGUGCAUCGUUCGCAACUUGACUUUUAACGAGAAGAGUUUGACAAAAUUCAUUCAAUUGCAAUCGAAACAUCAGGAGGGUAUUCACGAAAAACGUAACGAAGCGACUUUGGCGACGCACAAUUUAAAUCUUAUUCGACCAGGAAAUCUCAAGUACAGUGGAAUCAGUUGCAAAGGAAGCCGAAAAAUUUGAGAAAGGAGAAGAUGCACAGUGUCUGUUUGGGAGUUCACAUAUUUGUACAUCAUUGAGAGAAGAAGCAGUAGCAAUAAAUAGAUUUCGUUCCUGUCAAGAUAACGAAAAAAUUUUUUUAUCGAAAUACCUGGUGCGACUCUGAAAAAAUUUGCAGAAAAGUAAUGGACCAAUUCCUAAAGGAGAAUUUUACCCAGAGUUUGAGCUGCACAUCAGAACCUAACGAUACUGAAGAAUUCUACAAAUUGAUUGUGGAGCAAGUUAUAGCCGUUAAUUCCGUUGGAAAUAUAAAAUAAAUAUUCAAAUAAAAAUGUUCCU